GGAUGGAAGGGCAAUCUGGCUGUGACAUCUGUUACCCCACUGAUUGCCAGGGUUGAUUCUGCUGUUCUGGCUGGCUGCGGGUGGGGUACCUUCCUCCCUUACCACUCUAUUUGUGUCCUUCCUGAAGUUGUCCACUAGGUUGAAGAGGAUGACCAUCCCCAAUAGAGAAGGGCCUGUCUUCAGUCAUGGGUAUAUGACUUGCUGCGUUCCACUGCUGGAAAUUCCAAAUAGACUCUCAAAAUAUUACUGCUCAUUGGCAAUUCAUCUGAUGCAUUGUCAAGAGCUCUGAUGGAGAUAUAGAAGAGUAAUGUUGUUGCCAUGCCUGCUAACACAUCUAUUCUGCAGCCCUUGGAUUAGUGAUGUUGACUUUCGAGU
rnacentral:snRNA from 1 species